rnacentral:rRNA from 1 species
AGAACGAACGCUGGCGGCGUGCUUAACACAUGCAAGUCGAACGCGAACGUAGGCUUCGGCCUACUAGUAGCGUGGCAGACGGGUGAGGAACACGUGGAUAACCUGCCCGGAGGUGGGGGAUAACCUUUCGAAAGGAAGGCUAAUACCGCAUAACAUCUCGAACCCCUCGGGGAGCGAGAUCAAAGCUAGCCUCUGUUUCAUGCUAGCGCCAUCGGAGGGGUCCGCGUCCCAUUAGCUUGUUGGUGAGGUAACGGCUCACCAAGGCCGCGAUGGGUAGCCGGCCUGAGAGGGCGAUCGGCCACACUGGAACUGAGAUACGGUCCAGACUCCUUCGGGAGGCAGCAGUGAGGAAUAUUGCGCAAUGGGGGAAACCCUGACGCAGCGACGCCGCGUGGAGGAUGAAGGCCUUCGGGUCGUAAACUCCUGUCGAGAGGGACGAAAGCUGGAGGGGUUAAUAGCUCUUCCGGUUGACGGUACCUCCAAAGGAAGCCCCGGCUAACUCCGUGCCAGCAGCCGCGGUAAYACGGAGGGGGCAAGCGUUGUUCGGAAUUACUGGGCGUAAAGGGCGCGUAGGCGGCUAGGCAAGUCGGACGUGAAAUCCCUCGGCUUAACCGAGGAACUGCGUCCGAAACUGCCAGGCUUGAGUCCCGGAGAGGGUAACGGAAUUCCCAGUGUAGCGGUGAAAUGCGUAGAUAUUGGGAGGAACACCAGUGGCGAAGGCGGUUACCUGGACGGGUACUGACGCUGAGGCGCGAAAGCGUGGGGAGCAAACAGGAUUAGAUACCCUGGUAGUCCACGCUGUAAACGAUGGGCACUUGGUGUUGCGGGUAUCGACCCCUGCAGUGCCGAAGCUAACGCAUUAAGUGCCCCGCCUGGGGAGUACGGU